CUUCUCUCUGCUGGACUGAAGAGUCCAAACUGCAACCUGGAAACUCUCAGAGCCACAGCUAACAGCUAGCUCCUCACUUCAGCGGCUCUAACGGAGCCUGUGCCGUUCAGCUGCUGUUGCUCCUCCUACACUUUGGACUGAACCAUUGUUCUAAGAAUGGUGGGGGGGUUCCUUAAAAUUAAUUCUUGUUCUUUUCUUAGAUGAAUGGCAGAUUUACUUUGUUCUUUGUUUAUAUUGCAUUUUUAUAUUGAUAUUGUUUAAAUGCAAAGGUUUCUUUCAUGAUUUAUUUGGGGGGACAAUUCCAAGAUUGUGGGGGUCCGGACCCCCCGACCCACCUGGGAUUUACGCCCAUGUCCAUACAGGUCAGCCUGUGUCCAGUUUGAGUGAAAAGAGGUGCAGGUGAUCCAGGCUUCAGAGAUCAAGCAGUGGCAGCACGAGGCAACAUGUAGAGGCACCAGCUGUGUGAUUGGUCCACUCUCCUGGUUUUAAAUGCAUCAACUAUAAAAAUAUCUAUAGAAAUAAAUCUGCUCCACCAGGCCAGUGAAACGAUCAGAGCAACAAAGACUCUUGCAAUCCAGCUUUGUAAGAAAAAAGAGCAUUAUUGCAGAUCCUUCCUCCCAGGAGUUGUUAGACUUUCUAACCAGAACUGCUCCCAAAAAACUCUUACAUAUGAUUAUAAAUUGCUCUACUCAGCUGCGCAUUUUUUCAAACUGAUUAUUGUGUUUUUAUUAAAUGUACAGCAUUAUUAUUCCUCUAUUGUAAAUGUGUCCUUACUCUACAGCCUCCUAUUAUUAUUAUUUUUACCUUUUCUUCAAUGUUUUAUUUUUCCAUUUACCUUAAACUUGUUGCUGGUAAACCUGAACUUCCUGCUGUGGAAAAAU